rnacentral:rRNA from 1 species
GAGUGCUUGCACUCAGCGUUUUAAGUGCGAGUGGCGAACGGGUGAGUAACACGUGGGCAAUCUGCCCAAAAGUGGGGGAUAACACUUGGAAACAGGUGCUAAUACCGCAUCAACCGGCUGACCGCAUGGUCGGCCGGGCAAAGACGGCGUCAGCUGUCGCUUUUGGAUGAGCCCGCGGCGUAUUAACUAGUUGGUAAGGUAACGGCUUACCAAGGUGAUGAUACGUAGCCGAACUGAGAGGUUGAUCGGCCACAUUGGGACUGAGA